CCGUGCCCAUGCGUGUGUCUACGUGCGCGUGCUGGUCAGUCCGAAACACCCCUUUGCCCGCGGUUCUUCUCCCUCUUCUUUCACGCCUCACCCAGCCCGGCGCGUUCUUCUCGCGCGCAGACCCGUCUCACCUCCGCCCCCCCCCUCCCCCAUUUGUUCCCUGGCCGUUCAUCUCUUUCUCUCUGCACCACCCUGUGGUGGCUCUUCUCGGGCACACCCUUCCCUUCGUUAUACGCGAGCCCAUGGGCUUUUACAAGAACUCGCACCCCUCCACAUCGGUAUCGACAAACAUGCCGUCUAAUGGUGAAGGCACGCUUUGAGGAGCGAAGGCGGGCAACGCAUUCGCGCGCUCUCUGUCUCCCCUCCUUAACUUUUUCGCUUCUCCCCUCGGCCGGCGAGUGAGUGUGCGGCGGCCCCUCCGGCAUUCGAGCUGCUGAGUGCCUCGCCCCUGCACGCCUCCCUCAAGACAUCGCGGUGCGGCGAGAUCUCAGAGACGGUCGAUAUGCCCGCCACUGCUGCCUCUCGCUCCCAUUUUCUCUUCGAAAAGGGUCGCCAGGUGAUCUCAUGGACCUCUUCUCUCUCUCGUCAUCGCCAGUGUCCACGUCUUCAUAGUCGGCCCGCCCACCCCCGACCCCCUUCGUGCCUGCACCCUGUGGGGCAGGAAGGAGGAAGGACGGGGGUGGCAACGCACUCUCGUCAGCAUGCAAGCGCAGACAUAUGCACCUGUCUGUCCCCUUGUGCUAAAGACGCCUUCGAAUCCUGCCGGUAUGGCCCUCUCGGUGUGUACGCGGCACGACCGCGCACACACAGACACACAAGCCGCCCCAGCAGUCGGAUCGAUGGAGACGGAUGUGCCGACUCGCCUGAUGGCCUCGGUGUUAUUUUCUCGCCCUCUCCCCAUCUCUAUCCCCUCCCGCUCUCUCGCACGCUGGCGAAG
rnacentral:misc_RNA from 1 species